rnacentral:rRNA from 1 species
UACGUAGGGUGCAGGCGUUAAUCGGAAUUACUGGGCGUAAAGCGUGCGCAGGCGGUUUGCUAAGACAGGUGUGAAAUCCCCGGGCUUAACCUGGGGACUGCGCUUGUAACUGGCAAGCUGGAGUGUGGCAGAGGGGGGUGGAAUUCCACGUGUAGCAGUGAAAUGCGUAGAGAUGUGGAGGAACACCGAUGGCGAAGGCAGCCCCCUGGGCUAACACUGACGCUCAUGCACGAAAGCGUGGGGAGCAAACAGG